rnacentral:rRNA from 1 species
CUACACGGGUAUCUAAUCCCGUUCGCUCCCCUAGCUUUCGCGCCUCAGCGUCAGAAGAGGUCCAGCACGUCGCUUUCGCCACCGGCGUUCCUUCCGAUAUCAACGCAUUUCACCGCUCCACCGGAAGUUCCACAUGCCCCUACCUCCCUCGAGACAGCCAGUUUCAAAGGCAAUUUUCCGGUUGAGCCGAAAGAUUUCACCCCUGACUUGGCCGCCCGCCUACGCGCCCUUUAAGCCCAGUGAUUCCGAACAACGUUUGCACGGUUCGUCUUACCGCGGCUGCUGGCAC